rnacentral:rRNA from 1 species
UACGAAGGGGGCUAGCGUUGCUCGGAAUCACUGGGCGUAAAGGGCGCGUGAGGCGGCCGAUCAAGGUCAGGGGUGAAAGCCUGUGGCUCAACCACAGAAUUGCCUUUGAUACUGUUUGGCUCGAGACCGGAAGAGGUUGGUGGAACUGCGAGUGUAGAGGUGAAAUUCGUAGAUAUUCGCAAGAACACCAGUGGCGAAGGCGGCCAACGUGGUCCGGAUCUGACGCUGAGGCGCGAAAGGCGUGGGGAGCAAACAAGG